GAUGAACGCUGGCGGCGUGCCUAAUACAUGCAAGUCGAGCGAAUGGAUUAAGAGCUUGCUCUUAUGAAGUUAGCGGCGGACGGGUGAGUAACACGUGGGUAACCUGCCCAUAAGACUGGGAUAACUCCGGGAAACCGGGGCUAAUACCGGAUAACAUUUUGAACCGCACGGUUCGAAAUUGAAAGGCGGCUUCGGCUGUCACUUAUGGAUGGACCCGCGUCGCAUUAGCUAGUUGGUGAGGUAACGGCUCACCAAGGCAACGAUGCGUAGCCGACCUGAGAGGGUGAUCGGCCACACUGGGACUGAGACACGGCCCAGACUCCUACGGGAGGCAGCAGUAGGGAAUCUUCCGCAAUGGACGAAAGUCUGACGGAGCAACGCCGCGUGAGUGAUGAAGGCUUUCGGGUCGUAAAACUCUGUUGUUAGGGAAGAACAAGUGCUAGUUGAAUAAGCUGGCACCUUGACGGUACCUAACCAGAAAGCCAUGGCUAACUACGUGCCAGCCGCCGCGGUAA
rnacentral:rRNA from 1 species